CACACACAGAAAAAGUCAAAUAAAGAUGCUAGAUCCUACAUGUGUUUUGGUCUGGGUGUUGAAAGUGGUUUGAUAGAUUAGAGAAAAAAGGGGGAAAGAAAAAAAAAGGAAAUCGUUUGAGAAUUUGAAAAAAUUGAAUACACUGAAGUAGAUUAAAAUGAAAUGAUGGAAGUAAAAUAGAAUUUGAAAAAAUUUACGCAAAAGUAAAGAAUAUAGUAGAAAAAAUUAAAGAAUAAUAUUUUGAAUAAAAAGUAAAAAUAAAAAUGAAUUUUUCUCUUUCUGUAUUCAAGAAAAAGAAAAGAAAUGAAAAAGAGAAAAAAGGAAUCAUUUGAAAAUUUGAAAAAGUGAAUACACUGUAGUAGACUAAAAUAAAAUGAUUGAAGUAAAAUAGAAUUCAGAAGAAUUUAUACACAAGUAAAAAAUAUAGUAAAAAAAUUUAAAGAAAAAUAUUUUUAAUAAAAAUUGAAAAUAAAACUGAUUUUUCUCUUUCUGUAUUCAAGAAAAAGAAGUGAAAAAGAGAAAAAAGAAAGAAAAAGAAAAUUGAAUAGAUGGACCUGUUGAUAGAUUGAAAUACGACUGAAAUUACUUCGUUUUCCCCUAGAAGUCAGACUAUGAAGUGCUUUAUAGUCCAUAAACUAAGCAGGCCGCGAGACUUGUGUUCUUGAAGAGCGAGGUUGGCCCAGUUGGGCGGGGCUUAGUGUAACGGCUCCGUUCUCCACUAGAUGGCGCUGUUAGCCUACUUGGGUGAAUUGUUGUGGCACUCAUAGGUGCGUACGCGCAUGAGCUGGAGCGGUGAAAAUGAUGUCACCCAGCUACUCAGGCUGUUCUGUUCUCCUGAUCAGCAAUCACGCACCGUUCUCUGCCUUCAGCUUUCGUCCACUUCCCGCUUUUUCACUGUCCGUGACCAAUCCCAAGGCAGUACCUCUCUCCCGAGUUUUGUCUCAGAUGCGGCUAUUUUCCCUCGCCCUUUAGUUCUGAAGGACUGCAGCUUAGACCAGUUCCGCCCCUCUGUGGGAGGGUCUUACUGAGCAAUGGCCGAAUGUCGGCUGCACCCAGGAAUGCUUGCAGGACCCUGCUGCUGCCGGUGCCCCGAGACUGCAGCCGGGGGCCAGCCCGCCCCAGAAAAAGUUCGCGAGAUGGUGUAGCAGCAGUUUUUCAGGGAUUAUGGAAAAUCACAACACACAUCUGGCACCAGGCUUCACCCUUAAUGACCUUGUUCCAGCACCAGCGAAUGUGGCUGUUCUCUGGGGUUUCCUGGGACCAGGUGGCCUCAACAGCCUCUACCAAAUGCCCUUCCAGCAGUGGAACCACUUUUCCCUGUGUGGCCGAAGAACCUUCUGGACCCCAGUCUGCUCCUGGGGAUUCGCCCUUCCCGCCAGAGCACCACCAGAGAUUUUCUUAUUCCUUUCUGAUUGGUUAGUGUUCUUGCAGAAGAACUCAGCCACCUGACAUGCAUUUCAGAGUGUCACAGGUUGUAACCGAUUUCCAAAGAACAGAACCUAUGUCACAGAUCAACCCCAGGAUUUGCAUGAUGAGCUCUGAAUGACCAGAGGCAUUCCCAUUAGGUUUAUUUUCCCAUCCUGCUCCAGGUUUUCCAAAUCUUGAGUGUGUAAUAGCCACUACUAACAGAACUGCUCUUUACUGGAUAUGAAAUAUUUUCACGUUAGAACAAUAUUGUUGUUAUUAUUUUCUCAGAAUUUAGCUACAGACACUGUGACUUAAUGCUUGCUGGAAGUAACAAAGCCAAUAAGAGCCAGAGCUGAAAUUCAAACCAAAGCUGUAUAUUUUAAAAUUAGUACUUUUUCUAAGACACUAGUUUGCCUUUGAAUCAGUACUUCCAGAUAACAAAGAAACUAAAAUGACUAAAAUUUUGUGAAAUCAGUUCUAUCAGAAAUAUCCAAAUAAAUUGCAACUGUCCCUAAGGAAGACAAACACUCGAGUAUAUGGAUAUAGAUCUGAGGUGUGAUCAACACCUUUUCAAUUCUGUUUGGGUGGUGGGGAAGGCAAGAAAAUUCUAAGGAGAGUUUUAAUAGUGUCUCAAGUAACUCAGGAAGAAGAUAUAUUUGAUUGAUACAUUUCAUUUGAGGUGGAAUUCAGUAGUUCCGUUGAAAAUUUGACCUCACAGAAUACAGUAAGUUACAAAACCAACAUUGGUUUAUGUUGAUUUAUACUGAGAAAGGUUUUCAACAUGUACUUCUCAAAAAAAUGAGUUAGCUACAAUUUACCUAAUGAAUAAUAUUAGGAUGGGCAAUUUCAUCUCAUUGCUGGCAUCAUUGAAAAGACAGGAUUAGAAAAAGGACCUGAAAAUAUUAGCAAAGAUGCUUUUGGAUUAUUUUUCAAUAGUAUGGUAAAGAAACAUUUAUAAAGAAAGAAAAUAAAGUUGCAGUUAACCAGUGAAUUGAUAACUUUUACGAAAAAACGUAAUUAAAGCCUUUUUAAGAUGGAGCCUGAGCAGCCUUUUCAGGGCAACUGCCUUGCAUGUCCUGUUUUCUGAAUCUUUGAACUAGGCCAAACCGCCAACCUUCCUAGAAGUCAGCAAGAACAAGAAUAUCCUGUUUGAAAAGACUGAUAAAGGUAAACUUUCGCUUAGUGACCACUUUGUCAGACCAAUCGAUAAAUUACAAACCUAGCCCUGCUUGUCAGCACCAAUGAACUCUUCCCAAAAACAACUUACUAAUCUUCCUUUUAUUUCCCCAUAAAAACCCCGAGUCUACAUCCUGUAAUUGGGACACUAUUCAGGUUUCUACCCAAAUCUGUGUACAAUUCUUUGAUCCCAAAUAAACGUUUUGUCUCUUGAUCUGAUUUUUUGUUUGUUUGUUUUUAGGUUGACACUUCAUUAACAAUCCUGUGAUGAUUUAAAUGACAAAAGAAAAUAAAUGUGAGUGUCAGUAAAAGUAAUUAAAAGCAUGUUCUUUUUACUAAGCACUAGCGUGACUUGCAUGACUACCAUGUAGUGAUUGACCUAAUUCAUCAUCUCAUUUUGACUUGACACUUGGGUUCUAACCUCUGUAAAUUUUCACUCUAAGCAGAAGACGCAGAGCCAGAUUUGCAAAGAGUGAUGUCAGAGUUCACCAUCUAGGGUCUCUCAGCCUUGUUCAAUCAGCAUUUACCCCUAGACUCAGCCUGACAGUCCUCAAAUCAUCAUAUGAGGUGAUAUUCUAUCAGUGCUCCCAUAAUUCCAGGGCAAGAGAGCCCUCAUUACAGUUAGGAACAAGUGCUUGGUGUGUUUGAGCUAAUGAGGUACUGACUUUUAGCCUAUGACAAUUGACCGCCAUCAUGUACCUAUCAGAAUGCCCUCAGCACAACAUUUUAGAGGAAGCCAGGGUAAAUUGGAUUCUUAAUGGCGCAUUUAACAGAAGUCAGUCAAUAGAGGUUAACAUAAUUCUCAAUAUGCACUUUUAAAUUGCAAACAGUUUUAGAGUGACCAUUUCCCUAACAGACUGGACUGACACACCACACAAUGGGCUUUUGGCCUUCCUAGCAGAUGGGCCUCCUUUGGUUUUGGUCCUGAAUACAGCAUUAGUUGAAAAAGCAUUCAGUUCAGAAUAGAAUGGCUUUUUUUGUGGAAGAGCUGGCUUAUUGUUUGAUUCAGACAAAGAACCCUUUAUCUGGUGGUGACUUGUCAUCUUAUGUCGAUGUAAGCUAUGUAAAGAAUGACUUUUCAUUAAAGCAAGUUUAGCAUAUUUGCAAUUGUCUUGGUCAGAUGGGAAAGUUUCUGGCUGAAAUAGUAGAAUUAUAUCCUGUGGUUUAUGCAAUCCACAAACUGAUUCUAUGUGGGAAAGCAAAAAUAAUAAUAAUAAUAAUAAAAGAGGUUUUUUUUUUCCCUCUUGGCUGCACAGAAUAACUGUGCCAAGCAACAAUUUUUAGGCACACUGAAGAAAAUCCACUACCUGUAUAGGUGGCAGAAUUCACCAAGUUAUAUGGAGACUGAAUAUAUAUCUGUUCUUCUCCAAACAAGAUUAUAGUCUCGAAUUCCUGAAUUUGAUUCACUAUGGAUUAAAAACAUCAUUGCUACCUCAUCCAGCUCUUGCACUUUUCUAUAAACUGUUAGGCAUGUAAUCCUCAUUAAACCCUCCCAUGCUGCUUCCACCAUUUGACUGUGAACUUCCUCCUUGCAAGUAAACUUUAUAUUGCUCCCCUGCAUUCCAUGCUAUCUUGUAUAUGGAGUUCCUAUGUUGCCUCUUCUAUUCAUUGCCAACAGUAUAAUACCUUUCUGCUGGCCCAAAACUUCUAAACUUGAACAAAUAAAUUGGAGAGGGUCUGACAUGCGGUGGCACAGCCUCAUGGACAAAAACAAUAACCUUCCUGAGCAUCACUGUAAAUACUCCUCCCUGACCAUUGAGAAUCCUACAAAAUUCUCAGUAUCCCAUGUCCUAUAUGUGCUUCUUCACCACUGGUCUGGUAACAUUGGAAAGGAGGGCAGCUGUUAUAUACCUCUCCUAGAUUUGACCAACGUGACCAUUUUGCAGUGUUCUCCCUUGCCAAGUAGCUUCACUGAGUGCUAAUGGGAGGUGAAAAGGCCCCAACAGAACCAUCUGGAAAACAUGCAUCUGCUUUAUCUUUAGUCUACAGUGUCUGAGGCCCAGAGAUGACCUUGUUCCUUCCCAGGGACCUCAAGCACCUCCAUCCACCCAAGCAGCUCACACAGCCAUUGGUAAUCUACACAUGGCUCAUGCACCACACAUUUCACAUAGACAUCAUCUUAGAUAUCAGAACACCAGAAGUAAUGGGGACAAAAAGAAACAUGGUAGAGGAAUACAGCCUGUUUUGGUAUGAUUUCUCCUUGGAUUUGUCUUCAUGGUUUACCUGUGGUUUUUGAGCUUAUCUUAACAAAAAUUGUGAGUUUUACACUGUCACAGAACAAUCGGUAUAUCACAUACUAUGUGUAACAAAUUUUGUAUUCUUUUUAUAUUUUUUAUUUUGUAUCAUUUCAUUCCCCUUUUCCUCUCUCCUCUGAUGUUUAAUACUAUGUUGGGAGUUUAUGUUGAGAUACACAUUACAAUACAAAUCAUAUUGUACCAUAUUACAAUAUGGCACAUUACACUACGUGGCACAUUACAAUACAACACAUUCUUCUUAUGCCCCUCCAUUCCUCAGGUUUAAGCUCCUGGCUAGGAUAAAUGCCAAUGUCCUGUCCCAGAAAUAGAAAGAGGCCCUGCAAAGGACAAAUUCUAGACCUUUUCCUCCGUUCCUUUUAAUAUUUAUCUAUAAUGAUGUCCCACUCUCAUACUGUGAUCACAAGCUCAGUACACCAACUCAUUCCCUCAACCAUAUUUUUCUCACCCGAAGUGCCUGAGGUAGUUAAAAUAUACCUAGCUCCAUCAAAAAAAAAUUCCUUAAAGAAGUACAUCUUUGAAGUGAAUAUCAGCAUUUAUUGCUAUGGUUGGAUACUGGAGAAAGUUAAAGUUUCUCAGAAUCCUGGAUUACACAAUAUAUGAAUCUACUAACACUUGUCUGAUGCAUAACUGAUACAUAUUUGUUUGUAUCUUGCAUAAAUUUUUUCCAUCUCCAUGGCAAGAAUUUUCACUUCUUGGAUUGAUCACCAAAAUAUUAAUAAACUGCAAUUCACUCACCUUUGAACAUAGCCCUUUAACUGGGAAAGACUGAAGGGCUUGGGUAUUUUAAACUCUGUUUUUUUGUUUUUUUCUGGUACAGUGGUCCUCAAAUGUAGUAUUUUUAUGAAUCACCUGGACAGCUUAUUAAAACACAAAAUUUGGGGCUCUAUUCCUAGUGUUUGUAACUCAGUAAGACCCCAGAAUUUACAAUUCUAGCAAGUUCUCAGGUGAUGAUGAUACUGGUUCAAGGUUCACAGUUUGUGAACCACUGGUCUAGGAUAUAAGCAACAGAGGGUUAAGAGCAAAGAAUUUAGUGGUAUUAUAUUUUGUAUGUGCAAAUCCCAACCACCAUGAUAAAUUUUGCAUGGCUAGUGAUUUACUUCACUGACAAACAUAAACCAUGUAUAGAUUUAAAUUUCAUUGUUAACUAAAAUUAUCAAUCAUACAUUUUUGGGUAGUCUGAAAUGUGUGUACACAAGUUCACAGAAAAACCAUUAGACAUUUCUUCAUAUUGUUCUUUAGGGUACUCUUUAUAAGGCAAACAUUUUCAAAUGCCUUGUGUUCUAUUUGAAUUUGCCAGCAUAAGUUUUUUUUUUUAACCUUAUAAAGAAUUCUUGUUACAUGGGUGAUUGUGAAAUUAUUUGGAAAUGAUGACCUGUUUUCAUCCUAGCUGUCAACUAUAAUUCUCUUAAGAUAAUACAGGCCCUUAUAAGUGAAAGAGACUGAAAGCAAUUGGGCUAUCAGUUACUCACCCUUGCACACCCCACCCCACUCUGAAAUUGUACAUCCAGACACUUUCCUUUCACACAUGUCUCAAAAGGCCAUUUGUCCUUUUACUUAUCAAUUAAAUACCUUCUUGAUGUUUUGAAAAAUCCUUAUCCCAGUGUCCAUCAUAUCAUGCUUCCCAAAUGUAAUGCUCAAAACUCAUGAGGUAAUUGCUACAAAGUUUCUCCUCCCUGCACCAAAGCAAAGUAAAAUUAGACCUUUAAAUACUUUACCCUUUGGUGCAGCUGUUUGCAAAAGGGAAAUUGCAACUAGAAUGACCUGCAUUCUGCUGUAAAAUGGAUGAAAGAAAAAUCUCAUUCCAUUUUGCAGUUACUUAUCACUUCUUUAAGAUAUCAUUGAUCAAAUAAGAUGCCAGGUUGGGAUCAUAUGAAAACUUUCAAAAAAAAAAAAAAGCACUACAUAAUUCAUACAAUUGUGUUGGAUGGGUAUGUAAAGUUAUGACAUAUCUUAUAGUGAGAAACUACUAUUGUCUGCCUUUGUGCCAGUGAAUGGUUCAAAUAUGCAGCACUGUGUUAAUCACUCUUUAUAUGGGAGCAUUUAAAGAUAGACAUUUUAUUAGAGAAAACUUGAAAAAAUAUAGAAAACACAAGGAGGAAAAAUGUAAGUUAUCCAUGAACUCCACUCAGAGAGUAACAUGCACUUUAUAUGAAGAUAUAAAAAGAAUUAGACUAAGAAUUCCAGAGACAGUGUUUCAUUGGUGGAGGCUGCUGAAUUCCAGGUGAUUCCCCUGCUAGGGGAAAGAAAAAGAGGUGCUCUCUUCUAUCUCAAGAAGUGAGAGAGGUUUGAAAGGACAUUACAGCAUUUGCUAUGUAUUUUCUGGGAUGUGAACCCCACCUGAGAAGAACAAAUGCCAAAGUCUGUGGCAGGAGAUAAAAAGCACAGUAGUAGAAGCAACUACACUCCUCUAAUUAGUGUGACAAACAUGCAUGGCAUCCUCGGCGGCCCAAAUGGAUAAUGCAGAAGGGAUUUGGGUUAGAAAUCUCUCCAAGAAAUCUCAGCAAUAAGAAGCUGUCAGAUAUAUCAACAGGGGCAGGAGCUGGGGGAGUAGUGCUAUGCCCAUGUCAGAGAACUACACUACUGAGAGAUCCCCCCAGUCAACGUCCAAAGAACACCAAACAAUCUUGAAAAAAGAGACUAUUUGGAGUAUCCGCUAACCCCAGAGUGUGUCAAUGCCAAGUCAUAAGAAUACCUAUAAAGUAACAACUUACUCCUCUCUGCCCCACUCUCCUGGUUUGAGAAGCCUUGGCUCAGGAAAUAGGAUGAGAAAGAGAAGAGAACGUUGGAGAAGACAGCUGACCACACCUAUUUCCCACCAGAAGUCUCUACACUCAGCAGGGGAAGAGAAGCAUCUUUAACUCUAAAUGUAGUUCAGAGUUUGGACUGCGGAAAUGGUCAUUCCAGUUAUUAAAAUUAGAGUGGAACUAAAAGUGACUAAAGAAAUUUUUAUUAUCAGAAUGUGACCUUAAGAAUCAUGGACUGCCCCUGGAUUUUGUCCAAGGGAUGGGGGAAAACUAGCUUCCACAGAGAAAGAAGGAGAAAGUUGCUUUCUCUUAAUCCUUUUGGAGUCUUGCUCUUUUUGUAUAAUGAUAAUAACAUUAUAUUCCAAUAUAGGGUUGUGCCAAAACAUAUUGAACCUUUCAAUCUGUUUCUACUUUAUCAUCAUUUCUUGAAAACCACCGUAACUUAGGUGCUAUUUCCUUUCUCUUCUUAAUUCUCAUGUUUUAUCACACUGGCAGUCAAUAAAAUAUUAUUUAAAAAAUUUUAAAAUAUUAUUUAAAAAAUAUUAAAAAUCUGAUUUAUACAUAGUGCCUGAAACAUAAACAUAGAUGAUAGAUGAAGAUAUGUAUGAGUAUAUGAGUGAGCCCAUUUCUUCCCCUUUUCUCACCACGUGAAAAAAUAACAAAACUAUGGGGCACCUGGAUGGCUCAGACAGUUAAGCAUCUGACUCUUGGUUUCAGCUCAGGUGAUGAUCUCAUGGUUGGUGAGUUCGAGUGCCACAUCAGGCCCUGUGCUGACAGUGCAGAUUCUGCUUGGGAUUCUCUCUCCCUCUCCCUCUGCCCCUCCGCUGCUCAUGCUUGCUCUCUCUCUCAAAAUAAAUAAAUAAUCUUUAAAAA